GACCUCCUAAUUCUUACUACGGCUGUGUUCUUUACACUGACUGUAUAGAAAGAGGAGGUACAGUAAAUGCCCCCAUAUACACUUCAGCACAGGCCCUUUGCCUGGUCUGUACUGUGAAUUGGGGGACAAAA